CGCACAUCUGGAGCCUGAAGGAUGCUUCCGACCCUCCUCGGCACCUCGUGUGGAUGUUUUAGUCUCCAUGGACGCAGCAGGCACGAUGAGGAAGAAGUUUCAGACGUACCUCUUGCUGUUACAGCGUAGACAACGGAGCUUGUUCCUGUCUUUGGUUAUCUAGCUGUAUGAGUGUUAAUCAUCCAUCAUAAAGCUAGAUAACCGAAAGUAGGAAUGGCCUCCAAACCUCAGUGCUCCUGCGUUAAAUAAACACACACACAAGAGGACGUCACGUCUUUCAGGUGAGUUGUGUUUUAUUAAUAGGACUGUUUACAGCUGCAACAAGCUGAAUAUUUGAUAAAAAAAACCCAAACACUUUUUUAAUCAAAAAUAACAAUUCACACCAACUAUUUUUUGAUAAUGAAAUGCAGUUACUAGUUCCACCAAACAGGGAACAAAAACAGACAAAUUCAAAUGUCCCUCAGUGAUUUACAUAUCUUAUUCCUUUUAAUGUGAUUUGUUGGUUUCUUGUGAGUCUUUCAAAUAGCAAUGACAUUCCAAAUAACUCGACUUGAUAUGGGAGAAACAAAUAAGACUUUGGAUAAUAUAAGAUCAAAGAUUUCACUCGGAGAAAAAAGAGAAAGAAAUGUAUAAGGAAUGUUUUUAAAUCAUUUAAACAAAUCUGAAACAAAUCUUUCUAUUGACUUUCUAUAGAUGGAAUAUACAAAAGAGAAAAAAAAACGCAUUAAAAAAAAAAAAAUAUAUAUAUAUAUAUUAUAUUAUAUAUAAAAAAAAUUAAAUUGAAAUCCCUGCUGAUACAUUGUUUGCUUGUGGUCCACAAAGCUUCUGAACAAACAGUGAAAUACACCAAAAAAGUUAACUACAAUUGCUUUGAUAAAAUCAAAUGCUUUCGUUAAUUUAUUUAACCAUUAUAAAUUUAAAUACAGAUAUCGGUCAUUUCACAUUUUAAAUUCUUAAAAUUGCAUGACAUCCUAAAUUUAUUUGCAUAAUAGUAUCAAAACAGGUGUUUGUGCAAUAUAUUGUAUUUCUGAACUCGGUUGUUAAACGUCAACCAUUUUGAUUUGGAAGAAAAUAGCAAAGCUAAAGUGUUUCUUGAAUCAAAAGACGUUGUUUUCUUUUGAAUGACACACACUGCUUUAAUGUAAGGAAUUAUUUAAUUUACGGACACAGAUUGUGCAGCAGUUUACCGCCAACAUUUUUACACAAACUGUUAGAAAUGCAAAGGUAUAGAAACAUGUUCCUAGAGCAACAUGCCGUGUUCUUCUCUGAAAGAAGGGCCUGCGUCAGAUUUUUCAGGUCAGCCUCCUUCACUGCCAAGCCAUCAUGAUGGAAGCCAUCUUGAGGGAGUCUCCCUGCUGCCUCUAAAAUGGUUGUGUUGGCACAUAGCGGUGCUUUAAUUGGUCCGUUGUUAGCUGCCUAUCAGCUCCCUAAUCAGCGCUGUGUUCAAGUGUGAUCUCACUCCAGAGAUGCAGCUCAUUAGUGAGGUCACGUGCUGAACCCUUUUAAAUCUCUACAUUAAAUCUCUACAUGACUCAACUGCUAUACUGAGCACUGAAUUAGACAUAACAUUUUCUCAUAACAUUUGAUUUCAUUAAAGGGUUCCCACUGUGUCACUAGGGGAAAUAAUAUUUAAAGAAACUGCAAAUAGAAAACUUCUUAUCUUUCAUAAGCAGAGAGGCUGUACUUAUCAAAAAUGACCUGAUUCAAAUUAUGCAAGUUAAAUUAUUUAUUGUUUCUAAUAGAAAGAGUGAUAUUUAAAUAAUUUAAAUCAUUAACAGAUAUCUAAUUCAGUAUGUGUUAUUUUCUAAACACUGGACAAAGGGUAUUAAAAACUGCUGAGAACCUGUCAGAUCCAAUAUGACCAUAUUCUCCUCAUAUCAAACCUACACAAGGUAAAAGAAAAUAUAUAUAAAUCAACUCCUUUAAUAGAAGGAAAAGGUGUGCAGUUCUAAAACACAUACAUAAAUACCACAAGUUGUUUUUAAAUGUUUUUGUGUAUUUUCUGUGUUAAUGGAAAAAAUAUUUCAAUGUAAUGGGGGACAUUUGUUUUAUCUUAAAUGUAAUUCAAGUUGAUAAUAAUGAUGUAACCAAGCCUCAUUAGGCCUUGACUAAGGCCCUUAGUGUCCUUAUGCUUUGUCAGAGAAUCACAGACCUCCAGUCUUUACAUAUUAUACUCAUCCUGUGUUAAUUCACUAUUAAUAUCUUGUAGGUGUAUCACGUGUAGAAACAGCCCCUGAAGGAUGUCCCGUGAACAAUGGACAUGGAAAUAUAUAUAUUUUUUAAGUAACUCAAAGUGCCAGGGUGAUGAGUAAAACACAAGUGGGAGCAGUGUUACUUGUUUUUGUUAAUUCAUUAAUAAACAUUUGCCAGUAAAUAAGUCAAACUGGAGAUUGUUUCUAAAUGUGCAUUUUGCACUUUUUUUUCUUUUCCAAAAAGACCAUCUACCUCAGUGUCUGAUGACUAAAGAUAUGCUGUAUAAGAUAUGCAGGAUUAUGCAAACAUAACCUUCCCUCCUUAACCUCCACCUCAAACAUCUGUCCAUCAGUCUUCUCUUUCCAAACACAAGUCUGCGGGCUUAAUUGUGUGAGACAGACUCAUACAGAUCAACAUUAUAUUACAUUUGAGCGUUAUCAGAAAGUUGUACCUGGUCUGUUUUAGUACUGCAUCCUUGAGGUGUGAUGUUGCAGAGCGGUGUGUUUUAUCCGCAGUGUGAAGCUCACACACAACGCAAUGCAAGUCUUCAUCAGGCACGAGCGCUCUCCAUUGGUCCCUCCGCCAGACUAUUGCUUUGGAAUAGAGCAGGUCUGCCAAAAAAAACAAAAACAAGAGUGGCUUUAUGUGAUGGGAAAUAAAGGAAACAAUCAUGCAACUCCCGCCGAUAAUGAAUAGGAGGCAGACUAGCUGGGUGCAUUAACAUAAUUACAUAGAAACGAGCACAGAGAGUUUUUAAAGGCGCAGCAACAGACAGUGGAUCUCUGUCUCUGGAGAGCACGAUUAAUACAUACAUAUGGACAUUCAAUUAGAAGCGAAGAAAAUGGACAGUCGAUAUAUUGGCACUAAGAUGUUUUGUAAAGGAGCAGUAGUCAUGCAUUUUUUCCUUAAACCUCUCAAGUAUCUUUAGAAAGAUAAUAUUACUAUUAAAAGCACACAAACAUCUUUAGCCAUCGGCCAGGGCUGUCAAAGAAACACUGAAGACCAUGUUCCUCCUAAGCACCCAGCACCCACCUGAAACAAUCAAAGUUGUGUAGUUCGUUUUAUGAAAGAUGAAAAAAAAAAAUAUAUAUAUAUAUUAUUUUUUUUAAAAGCUGCCUCCACAUUGCCAUGUUUUAAAUUCUGGUGAGAAAGAACAUAAGCCUUCAUAUAAAGUUGAGUUAAAGAUAGACAUAUUCAACAAUCAUCAUUAAAGUUUGCAAAUACUGAAAACCCACA